rnacentral:rRNA from 1 species
UGCACCACACCUACGGGUGGCAGCAGUCGAGAAUCUUCGGCAAUGGGCGCAAGCCUGACCGAGCGACGCCGCGUGCGGGAUGAAGGCCUUCGGGUUGUAAACCGCUGUCGUAGGGGAGGAAGGUCUGGUGUAUAGCCAGACCUGACCGAUCCUAGGAGGAAGGGCCGGCUAAUCUCGUGCCAGCAGCCGCGGUAAUACGAGAGGCCCAAACGUUAUUCGGAAUUACUGGGCUUAAAGAGUUCGUAGGCGGCGCAGAAAGUAGGGUGUGAAAGCCCCCGGCUCAACCGAGGAAUUGCGCUCUAAACUACUGUGCUCGAGGAGUCUAGAGGUGAGCGGAACUGAUGGUGGAGCGGUGAAAUGCGCUGAUAUCAUCAGGAACACCGGAGGCGAAGGCGGCUCACUGGGGAUUUUCUGACGCUGAGGAACGAAAGCCA